rnacentral:rRNA from 1 species
CCUACGGGUGGUAGCAGUGGGGAAUAUUGCGCAAUGGGCGAAAGCCUGACGCAGCGACGCCGCGUGAUGGAUGAAGGUCUUCGGAUCGUAAACCUCUGUCAGCAGGGAAGAACGGUCACUGUGCUAAUCAGCGGUGAAUUGACGGUACCUGCAAAGGAAGCACCGGAUAACUCCGUGCCAGCAGCCGCGGUAAUACGGCGGGUGCGAGCGUUAAUCGGAAUUACUGGGCGUAAAGCGCUCGUAGGCGGUAUGUCAAGUCAAGGGUGAAAUCCCCGGGCUCAACGUGGGAACUGCCUUUGAAACUGGCAAACUAGAGUGUUGGAGAGGAGAGUGGAAUUCCAGGUGUAGGAGUGAAAUGCGUAGAGAUCUGGAGGAACAUCAGUGGCGAAGGCGACUAUCUGGCACAUAACUGACGCUGAGGAGCGAAAGCGUGGGUAGCAAACAGGAUUAGAUACCCUAGUAGUC